AAAUUGCAGUUUUAAAUUUCCCCGGAGUUUCCUGUUGAAAACGUCGCGGAAUGAUGACGCGUGUUUGUGACGUUAUUGGUUGGAGGGGACAUAUUAGCCCAGCACCACUUACGGCUAAAAAUCGUCUCUUUUCAUCGCGCAAUUACACAGUAUUUUGGACAUCUGUGUUGCUGAGUCUUUUGCAAUUUGUUCAAUUAAUUAUGGAGAAGUCAAAGUAGAAAGAUGGAGGUGGGAAGCUUUUAGCCUUUAGCCACACAAACACACAGUGUUUCCUUGUUUAAAAUUCCCAAAGGUGAAGCUUUACUAUGGAUCAGAGCGGUCAAGCGAACAUGGAUCCCGACUACAUGUCAACCGGCAGUUUUCGGUGAGAAAAUUGUGGAAAUAAGUCUCCUCCUACCGGAGAUAAGCGGAGCCAGCGACCUCCUGCAGCUGCCGUGACUUCUCUCAGAGACUCUGGCGUCAAAACACCCGUGGACACACCCCUCCGACUUUAAGGCCCCACACUUCAAACUUGACGCUGACCAGCUUGUAGGAGCACAUGAUGGGGUCUUGGGUGUUGAUCCAUCCUUCCUCCAGGAGGCCUCGAUUGGUCUUCCUCGACUUAAAGUAGCGCAAGUCCUACAUGUCCGUGAGACAACAUAUCGUCAGGCACUCAUGUUGGGACCGAGGCAGACGCUCCACCACCCUUUGAAAAGUGAGUGUGUGGCGCUUGUCAACAGGACCAUGAAUGACAAGACAAAGUCCAAAAAGGUGCCGUUCCCUGCCUUUAAAGUGCACCGAUGACACAGCAAGCAACUUGUGUAAGUAAUACGAAAGUAUUUUUUGAAGUUAUAUUUUUGCUGGGCGUCUGAGUGAGUGACGUCAAUAAUUAAAUGUACGUGCGGUAGAGCAGAAGUGAUGCCGUUCUGAUGAUCACACGCAGAAAGGAAAUGACAAAUGUAAGGCUGCCUUUCAUCUUCCUCACUUUUAAAACUUGAUUCAUGAUUAAUUGAUGAUUCCCAUUCCUCUUUCCUCAUUGUCUCCAGACACUUUUACCAGCUCAGACAUGUGCUUAAACCCACUUUGCAUCCACCUUAUUCUGGGUAAUGCAUAUUAUAUUUCACACUGAAUUAGUCAAAUACACUUUAUUGCCAAAAGUGUUUGGUCACCUGCCUUGACCCACAUGAGAGUGCCAUCCCAUUCCCAACCCAUAGGGUUCAAUAUGAUGUCGGUCCACCUUUUGCAGCUAUUACAGCUUCAACUCUUCCGGGAAGGCUGUCCACAAGGUUGCGGAGUGUGUUUACAGGAAUGUUCCACCAUUCUUCCAAAAGCGCAUUGGUGAGGUCACACACUGAUGUUGAUUGAGAAGGCCUGGCGCUCAGUCUCCGUUCGAAUUCAUCCCAAAGGUGUUCUAUUGGGUUCAGGUCAGGACUCUGUGCAGGCCAGUCAAGUUCAUCCACACCAGACUCUGUCAUCCAUGUCUUUAAGUUAAAGUUAAAGUACCAAUGAUUGUCACACACACUAGGUGUGGUGAAAUGUGUCCUCUGCAUUCGACCCAUCCCCUUGAUCACCCCCUGGGAAGUGAGGAGAGCAGUGAGCAGCAGUGAUUCAACCCCCAAUUCCAUCCCUUGAUGCUGAGUGCCAAGCAGGGAGGCAAUGGGUCCCAUUUUUAUAUAGUCUUUGGUAUGACUCGGCCGGGGUUUAAACUUCCAACCUACCGAUCUCAGGGCAGACACUCUAACCACUAGGCCACUGAGUAGGUAUAAUAUGGACUUUGCUCUGUACACUGGUGCACAGUCAUGUUGGAAAGGGAAGAGGCCUGCACCAAACUUUUCCCACAAGGUUGGGAGCAUGGAAUUGUCCAAAAUGUUUUGGUAUCCUGGAGCAUUCAAAGUUCCUUUCACUGGAACUAAGGGGCCAAGCCUAACUCCUGAAAAACAACCCCACACCAUAAUUCCUCCUCUACCAUAUUUCCCUUUCGGCCCAAUGCAGUCUGAAAUGUACCGUUCUCCUGGCAACCUCCAAACCCAGAAUAUUUAGGAGCGAGGAAAUUUCACGACUGGAUUGGUUGCCCAGGUGGCAUCC